rnacentral:rRNA from 1 species
AUUGAACGCUGGCGGCAUGCCUUACACAUGCAAGUCGAACGGCAGCACGGGAGCAAUCCUGGUGGCGAGUGGCGAACGGGUGAGUAAUAUAUCGGAACGUGCCCAGGUCGUGGGGGAUAACGUAGCGAAAGCUACGCUAAUACCGCAUACGAUCUAUGGAUGAAAGCGGGGGAUCGCAAGACCUCGCGCGAUUGGAGCGGCCGAUAUCAGAUUAGGUAGUUGGUGAGGUAAAGGCUCACCAAGCCGACGAUCUGUAGCUGGUCUGAGAGGACGACCAGCCACACUGGGACUGAGACACGGCCCAGACUCCUACGGGAGGCAGCAGUGGGGAAUUUUGGGACAAUGGGCGCAAGCCUGAUCCAGCAAUGCCGCGUGCAGGAUG